AUUGAACGCUGGCGGCAUGCCUUACACAUGCAAGUCGAACGGCAGCACGGGAGCUUGCUCCUGGUGGCGAGUGGCGAACGGGUGAGUAAUGCAUCGGAACGUGCCCUGAAGUGGGGGAUAACGCAGCGAAAGUUGCGCUAAUACCGCAUAUUCUGUGAGCAGGAAAGCAGGGGAUCGCAAGACCUUGCGCUUUAGGAGCGGCCGAUGUCGGAUUAGCUAGUUGGUGGGGUAAAGGCUCACCAAGGCGACGAUCCGUAGCGGGUCUGAGAGGAUGAUCCGCCACACUGGGACUGAGACACGGCCCAGACUCCUACGGGAGGCAGCAGUGGGGAAUUUUGGACAAUGGGCGAAAGCCUGAUCCAGCCAUGCCGCGUGAGUGAAGAAGGCCUUCGGGUUGUAAAGCUCUUUCGGCGGGGAAGAAAGUCGCAUUCUCUAAUACAGGAUGUGGAUGACGGUACCCGAAUAAGAAGCACCGGCUAACUACCG
rnacentral:rRNA from 1 species